GCCAACGUCCAUACCAUGUUGAAUACACCGGUUCUCGAGUCAAGCAACAUCGGGCGUGGUCAGUACUUGGAUGGGUGACCGCCUGGGAACACCACGUGACGUUGGCU
rnacentral:rRNA from 1 species